rnacentral:rRNA from 1 species
AACGAACGCUGGCGGCAUGCCUAACACAUGCAAGUCGAACGAACCCUUCGGGGUUAGUGGCGCACGGGUGCGUAACGCGUGGGAAUCUGCCCUUUGCUUCGGAAUAACAGUUGGAAAUGACUGCUAAUACCGGAUGAUGUCUUCGGACCAAAGAUUUAUCGGCAAGGGAUGAGCCCGCGUAGGAUUAGGUAGUUGGUGGGGUAAAGGCCUACCAAGCCGACGAUCCUUAGCUGGUCUGAGAGGAUGAUCAGCCACACUGGGACUGAGACACGGCCCAGACUCCUACGGGAGGCAGCAGUGGGGAAUAUUGGACAAUGGGCGCAAGCCUGAUCCAGCAAUGCCGCGUGAGUGAUGAAGGCCUUCGGGUCGUAUAGCUCUUUUACCAGGGAUGAUAAUGACAGUACCUGGAGAAUAAGCUCCGGCUAACUCCGUGCCAGCCGCCGCAGUAA